rnacentral:pre_miRNA from 1 species
CUUGGCACUGAAAGAAUUCACAGAUGCUGCCCCUUUAAAACUCGUGGGUUCUCAAGUGCCAAAGA